GACAGAUCAAGACUCUGUCUCAAAAAUAAAUAAAAAAUAAAACAACAACAAAAAAUCCAUGUGUGCAGAGGGGUUGACGUGUCACUAUGUGUUCCAGUAGCUCAGCUUGCUAAGUGCGAAACUUGAGACACAAGUGUUUUAGUUCUGAAGGGGGGUAGGGAUGGGAGCAAUCCAAAUGUUGGAUAAUUCAGUAACUGGACACACCUGACUUUUGAACACAUUAUGUGAUUGGGGUUAGUAUUAACAUCUUGCCACUGCCUAUUAAUAUUUUGCAAGGGUAGAUAGUUUCCUUCAUCAGAUACACAUAGAAAGCAAUUUAGUUGCUCAUACCAGAAAAGGGAAGUCAAGCUGGGUUUAACAAUGUGUUGUGAGUUGCUGGGGAGAUGACUAAGAGAAGAUUGACAGAUACAUGGUUUGAGGGAGUUAGGAAAAAGCACUGUUUGAAAUGUUCCCUGGGUGUUCAGAAGAGUGACAGGAGUGGCCCUGCCAGUGUUGUCAAGAUUUACUCCUCCUUGGAGAUGCAAAACCUCCGAGAAACAAGGAAAAUAAGCUGGGAGACAGAAUGAUUUUAUCUGGGGACACCCCCCAUAAGGCAGGAACUGCUAAAGAGUUUGGGAAGAGGACAUGCUCCUUCAGCUUGUAUCAGGAUCACCUGGUUUGUGCGUUAAACAUAUACACCCCCCAGGCCCUACCGCUAUAUGACUGAAUCUGUUCCCCCCCACAACAGGGCCCUGAAAUCCAUACGUGUGAUAGGUGUUUCCAGGGCUGUUAGAUCUAAAAAUCACCCGCAACUCUGCAUCUGAGAAAGUCAAGAGAAGGGCCCCUGGUGGGGGAGGGAAGUACUGGCAGAGGGCUCACAAGGGCAGGGGUAGCCAUGCAGCCUGUCCUUCCCAUUUCUUCAUCUGUAAAAUGGAGAAAAUAACAGAGCCUGCUUCCUAGGGUGGUCAAGAGGGGCUUAUGGCAUCACUGUCUCCGUACUCAGAUGACCCAACCUCCUGCUUUGCUAAUAAGAUCCAGCCCAUCUUCCGGCUCCUCUACCCAGAAAAGGAAACGUUAAAACAAAAACAGAGAAACAUCUAAGAGGGCACUUGCAAGUCAAGAAGAUGUGUCUUCUUUCGCAGUGCAGUGAGAAAGAUCAGCAAAUUAAAGAAAACCUGACUGUGGGAAUAUGGAAGACUAUGGGACUGUGGGAGAAUGUCAUGAUCCAUGCAAGCCCACUGCUGGUCCUGAGAAAGUCCUUGCUUCCGCUUCACCUUAUGCCAUGAUUCCAAGUUUCCUGAGGCCUCCCAGUCAUGCUUCCUGUUAAGCCUGUGGAACUGAAACCACAUAAAACAUCCAGAAUUUCAAAUGGGUAUGCUGAGGAUUGGGAUGGUUCCAGAUGGAAGACUUGUUCCUGCUUCCCUAGGAUUUAUUGAGAACAGAAACUGCCAAGUUUUUAAUCGUAGUCACAAUCUUCUUUAUUAGGGUGAUAGUCCUAUUAUCUGUCUGCAUUUAAAAGAUAGCCUUUCCAGACAGGGCACAGUGGCUCAUGCCUGUAAUCCCAGCAUUUUGGGAGGCUGAGGUGGG